rnacentral:rRNA from 1 species
UACGGGGGGGGCAAGCGUUGUUCGGAAUUACUGGGCGUAAAGGGCUCGUAGGCGGCCAACUAAGUCAGACGUGAAAUCCCUCGGCUUAACCGGGGAACUGCGUCUGAUACUGGAUGGCUUGAGAUUGGGAGAGGGAUGCGGAAUUCCAGGUGUAGCGGUGAAAUGCGUAGAUAUCUGGAGGAACACCGGUGGCGAAGGCGGCAUCCUGGACCAACACUGACGCUGAGGAGCGGAAA